ACGCUCGACACCUACGAGGCAGCAGUUGGGAAUAUUGGACAAUGGAGGAAACUCUGAUCCAGUGACGCCGCGUGAAGGAAGAAGGUCUUCGGAUUGUAAACUUAUUUUGUCAGGGAAGAAAAAAUGACUGUACCUGAAGAAAAAGCACCGGCUAACUACGUGCCAGAAGCCGCGGUAAUCUGAGCGGGCUGGCAAGGC
rnacentral:rRNA from 1 species